AUAAAUCAAUAAAUCGCCAACAAAAUUCUCGACAAAGAAAACAAAACCGAUGCAAAUUUCUCGAUUGAUAGAUCAAAGAUUUGCGACAGAUUUGAAGGUGAGGCAACAGAAAAAUUAGGGUUUCGGGUUCUGCACAAGUUGAAGAUGAAAGAUUACGAAAGAAAACUACUAGACAGAAGGAAAUUGAGGAUUUGCUGAGUUCUAUGAUAGAAACGGAAGAAAAAUCGAUGGAUUAUACGUGAAACGAAGAGGGAAAAUGGAUAGUGUAG
rnacentral:misc_RNA from 1 species